GAUGAACGCUGGCGGCGUGCCUAAUACAUGCAAGUCGAGCGAACGGACGAGAAGCUUGCUUCUCUGAUGUUAGCGGCGGACGGGUGAGUAACACGUGGAUAACCUACCUAUAAGACUGGGAUAACUUCGGGAAACCGUAGCUAAUACCGGAUAAUAUUUUGAACCGCAUGGUUCAAUAGUGAAAGACGGUCUUGCUGUCACUUAUAGAUGGAUCCGCGCUGCAUUAGCUAGUUGGUAAGGUAACAGCUUACCAAGGCAACCAUGCAUAGCCGACCUGAGAGGGUGAUAGGCCACACUGGAAGUGAGACAGGGUCCAGACUCCUAAGGGAGGCAGCAGUAGGGAAUCUUCCGCAAUGGGCGAAAGCCUGACGGAGCAACGCCGAGUGAGAGAUGAAGGUCUUCAGAUCGUAAAACUCUGUUAUGAGGGAAGAACAGAUGUGUAGGGAAAUGUGGAGAGCUUGACGGUACCUAAUCAGAAAGCCACGGCUAACUACGUG
rnacentral:rRNA from 1 species